AUGGGUGACAAGGUUUAUAAGGAGGAAAUAAAUGUCAGCAACUCAAUAGUCAAAAAGGCAACAAUCACAAUGCUAGAUGACCAAAGCAAUAACUUUCUGAAGACAACAGGGUUUUCUACCUAUCUGAAGUCACGCUUCAUUUUGGCAUAUCCUUAGAAUAUAGUCUGCCUGGACCCCUGUGUCAUCUCAUGUCAGUUCAGCACUUGGCCCUGGCAGGCAUCUUGCUGUCAUGUACCCUUCCACUUCUAGUAGAUGUGAGUUGUUACAAGAGUCACUUAUCUAUCACAGGCUGCUUUUCAGGCCCUUUGUUUAGAUGAUCGUGUUGUGUCUUUUAAAGCUAAUGUGAGUCUGGUUUAUGAUUCAGGCUUAUGAAACAGCUUUGAAAACCAAAUAUGCCUGUGGAGAGUCAAUU
rnacentral:lncRNA from 1 species